rnacentral:rRNA from 1 species
GACAGAGGGUGCAAACGUUGUUCGGAAUUACUGGGCGUAAAGCGAGUGUAGGCGGUCUUCUAAGUCGGAUGUGAAAGCCCCGGGCUCAACCCGGGAAGUGCACUCGAAACUGGAAGGCUAGAGUAUCGGAGAGGUUGGUGGAAUUCUCGGUGUAGAGGUGAAAUUCGUAGAUAUCAGGAGGAACACCGGUGGCGAAGGCGGUUCUCUGGGCAUUACCUGACGCUGAGGAGCGAAAGUGUGGGGAGCGAACAGG